GAAGACUACAAGGAGGGAGACAGAGAGGAACUUACCGUUCUCUCUGCAUUGCAACAACCACAGGAGGUGGAUGAGACCAAUCUGGCAGAAGUUGCAUGGUGAUCAGAGGACAAGACAAAAGGAAAGAGAUGAGCAACACAUGAGCAAGAGAGAAGAUUGUGUUUUGCUGAGUCAGGCCACUAGGAACACAGGUAAG